ACUCCCAUGAAGAUAUUGCUCAAAAUUUCCCAUCUUUAUUUGGAUUCAAAAUAAGGAUAAUUUUAUCGUUUUCAUCUGUUUUACUGUUUGAAAUUAGUCUUAUUCAGGUGGCACAAUUGCUUUAUAAACAAUGAUAGAUGUUAAAGAUAGGGCAGGAGCCAGUAGAGAUGCUGUUGGUGGGCUAAGAUGAUAGCUACUUUUUAUUACCUUUUAUCAUGUCCAUUAAAGAGGGGGUAGGCUGAACAUGAUCUCAAUAAUGAAGAGGAAACUGAAACAGGGCAUGUGGUCUUUCAUAUGGUCUUGGGUUUCUGAUCUGUAGAUGCCUUUGUAACUUGGGAGUUGUAGCUUUCUCUUUCUACAUGUGAACAAAAAUUAAUAUUUUUCGUUUUAUUACUUGAAUUUCAAUUUGAUAAUUAAGUUUCUUGUAAUUUUAAAUUUUAAAAAUUAAAAAUUUGAUAGUGUUACAUUAUGAAA